AUAGACAGGUGUGUGCCUUUCCAAAUCAUGUCCAAUCAAUUAGUAUUUACCACAGGUGGACUCCAAUCAAUGGAAACAGGAUGCACCUGAGCUCAAUUUCGAGUCUAAUAGCAGAGGGCUUGAAUACAUAUAAUUUUGAAUCCAAAAUAGGUGACCUACGUGAUUCAUGUAGAUCCGAUGAGAAACGUUUGGGGCCAAUCGUUCACAUAACAGAAUGCAGCACGCGACUGAAGAGAGACGAGACAACCAAUUUGCUAGUUACAGUAUCAGCGGAGAGUGGAAUGGCAGUUCCAGCUACAUCAGCGCGUCCCCUGGACAAUAAUGAGGAGGUAGGUGAGAAGCCUGACCACAGAGACGGGGGUGAGAAGCACUGCAGGAAUGGAGGUGUUUAAUAUGGCGGCCUCACCGCGGCUGGAACUCCCUGUGUGAGAGACAGAGAGCGGGAGAGAGCAACAGCUCGUUUGAAGUCUGCGACUGAGCCUCUCAUCAAACGGCAGUUCUGCAGCCGUCUCAGCCCGUUCCCUCACACACACACACACACACACACACACAACCCAAUUCCUCCUUUCACACUUUGCAUCCCACCUAGUUUUGAUCCCCUUCAUAGUUCAUACCACAGAUGACACAGUCACCGAUAAGCAACAUCAAACACUCCCAGAUGGUGGCCAUUUUGUUUUCUCCCCCAUAUCACUUUUCAGUCUCACUCCCAAACCUCGUUCACAGUGGGACAGUGAAAUAGUCAGUGGGACAGAGACUCCGACUCAUGUCUUUGUUACAGAAAUGUUUAUAUUGACUACUAAAUCCAUUUGUCCUAUGUAUGAGCUCCUAUAUGUCAAUCGUUCAGGACUUAUGUCUAUCUAAUUAGUCAUUAAACUAAACAUCUGUAUUGUCAUUGUAUUUAGACAGGCCUAGUUUAAACGUCUACUUACUCACAAA